CCUACGGGAGGCAGCAGUGAGGAAUAUUGGUCAAUGGGCGGAAGCCUGAACCAGCCAAGUCGCGUGAGGGAAUAAGGCCCUACGGGUUGUAAACCUCUUUUGUCGGGGAACAAAGACUGGGACGCGUCCCCGGAUGAGUGUACCUGAAGAAAAAGCAUCGGCUAACUCCGUGCCAGCAGCCGCGGUAAUACGGAGGAUGCGAGCGUUAUCCGGAUUUAUUGGGUUUAAAGGGUGCGCAGGCGGUCUGUUAAGUCAGCGGUGAAAGCCCCGGGCUCAACCCCGGGCGCGCGUUUAAAAUUGGCAGUCUCGAGUAGGGUAGAGGUAUGCGGAAUGCGCGGUGUAGCGGUGAAAUGCAUAGAUAUCGCGCAGAACUCCGAUUGCGAAGGCAGCUUGCCGGAUCCAAACUGACGCUGAGGCACGAAAGCGUGGGUAUCGAACAGGAUUAGAUACCCGAGUAGUC
rnacentral:rRNA from 1 species